rnacentral:rRNA from 1 species
UGGGGAAUAUUGGACAAUGGGGGGAACCCUGAUCCAGCCAUGCCGCGUGUGUGAAGAAGGCCUUAUGGUUGUAAAGCACUUUAAGCGAGGAGGAGGCUACUUUAGUUAAUACCUAGAGAUAGUGGACGUUACUCGCAGAAUAAGCACCGGCUAACUCUGUGCCAG